GUGCCAGCAGCUGCGGUAAUACGGAGGGUGCAAGCGUUAAUCGGAAUUACUGGGCGUAAAGCGCACGCAGGCGGUCUGACAAGUCGGAUGUGAAAUCCCCGGGCUCAACCCCGGGAACUGCAUUCGAAACUGUCAGGCUGGAGUCUUGUAGAGGGGGUAGAAUUCCAGGUGUAGCGGUGAAAUGCAUAGAGAUCUGGAGGAAUACCGGUGGCGAAGGCGGCCCCCUGGACAAAGACUGACGCUCAGGUGCGAAAGCGUGGGGAGCAAACAGGAUUAGAUACCCUGGUAGUCCAGCUGUAAACGAUGUCGACCUGGAGGUUGUGCCCUUGAGGCGUGGCUUCCGGAGCUAACGCGUUAAGUCGACCGCCUGGGGAGUACGGCCGCAAGGUUAAAACUCAAAUGAAUUGACGGGGCCCGCACAAGCGUGAGCAUGUGGUUAAUUCGAUGCAACGCGAAGAACCUUACCUGGCUUGACAUCCACAGAACUUAGCAGAGAUGCUUUGG
rnacentral:rRNA from 1 species